ensembl:Mt_tRNA
GGUAGGAUGGCCGAGUGUUUAGGUGGUGGGCUGUAGACCCGCUUACAGAGAUUAGAUUUCUCUUCCUAUCA